rnacentral:tRNA from 1 species
UUAGCUCAGUUGGUUAGAGCAUCUGACUGUUAAUCAGAGGGUCCAAGGUUCGAGUCCUUGA